GUGUUUGCUUCUGAAGCACAUAUUCUGAAAUGAUUCAGAGAUUAGCAUGGCCCCUGCACAAGGAUAACAAGCAAAUUCAUGAAGUGUUCCAAAUAAAG
ensembl:snRNA U6 U6 spliceosomal RNA